UAUUGCAGCUAGGAGACCUUCCGAGAGUCCCAUGAAAGAACCUCAUCAUCCAGAACUAUGCUAGACCUAAAGCUGUGUUCAAUUUAUGGUUAGUGCUACAUGGCAGAUUACCAACCAAGGACAGAUCCAUGGAAGAACCUAAUCAUCCAGAACUAUGCUAGACCUAACGCUGUGUUCAAUUUAUGGCUAGUGCUACAAGGCAAUUACCAACCAAGGACAGACUAGCAAACUGGAGAAUGAAUAUAGACCAGCAAUGUGCUUUGUGCCACAGUCAUACAGAGACAAUAGAUCAUCUAUUUCUAUCAUGCCCAUUUUCAACAGAGCUAUCGGAGCAAGCAAUGCAGUGGAUUAAAGAGGAUCAACCAAAGACAUAUACCUGGGAUCAAAGACUCUAGUGGUUCAUCAGUAAAGAUAAAGGGAAAUCAUGUCGAGUCGUAUAUUAAAAAUGGUGAUUGCUGAAGUAACAUAUGCUCUAUGGCUAGAAAGGAAUUCACGUAUAUU
rnacentral:lncRNA from 1 species